UACGAAGGGGGCUAGCGUUGCUCGGAAUCACUGGGCGUAAAGGGUGCGUAGGCGGGGUUUUAAGUCAGGGGUGAAAUCCUGGAGCUCAACUCCAGAACUGCCUUUGAUACUGAAGAUCUUGAGUCCGGGAGAGGUGAGUGGAACUGCGAGUGUAGAGGUGAAAUUCGUAGAUAUUCGCAAGAACACCAGUGGCGAAGGCGGCUCACUGGCCCGAUACUGACGCUGAGGUGCGAAAGCGUGGGGAGCAAACAGG
rnacentral:rRNA from 1 species